rnacentral:tRNA from 1 species
GGAGAGGUGUCCGAGUGGUUGAAGGAGCAUGUCUGGAGAACAUGCAGGCGGGCAACCGCCUCGUGGGUUCGAAUCCCACCCUCUCCG